rnacentral:rRNA from 1 species
UACGUAGGGUGCAAGCGUUAAUCGGAAUUACUGGGCGUAAAGCGUGCGCAGGCGGUUUUGUAAGUCUGUCGUGAAAUCCCCGGGCUCAACCUGGGAAUGGCGAUGGAGACUGCAAGGCUAGAAUCUGGCAGAGGGGGUAGAAUUCCACGUGUGAGCAGUGAAAUGCGUAGAGAUGUGGAGGAACACCGAUGGCGAAGGCAGCCCCUGGGUCAAGAUUGACGCUCAUGCACGAAGCGUGGGAGCAACAAGGAU